rnacentral:rRNA from 1 species
GAUCCUGGCUCAGGAUGAACGCUAGCGACAGGCUUAACACAUGCAAGUCGAGGGGCAGCAUAAAGUAGCAAUGCUUGGUGGCGACCGGCGCACGGGUGAGUAACGCGUAUGCAACCUACCUAUCAGAGGGGAAUAACCCGGCGAAAGUCGGACUAAUACCGCAUAAAACAGGGGCACCGCAUGGUGAUAUUUGUUAAAGAAAUUCGCUGAUAGAUGGGCAUGCGUUCCAUUAGGUAGUUGGUGAGGUAACGGCUCACCAAGCCGACGAUGGAUAGGGGAACUGAGAGGUUGGUCCCCCACACUGGUACUGAGACACGGACCAGACUCCUACGGGAGGCAGCAGUGAGGAAUAUUGGUCAAUGGGCGGGAGCCUGAACCAGCCAAGUCGCGUGAAAGGAAGAAGGAUCUAUGGUUCGUAAACUUCUUUUGCAGGGGAAUAAAGUGCAGGACGUGUCCUGUUUUGUAUGUACCCUGAGAAUAAGGAUCGGCUAACUCCGUGCCAGCAGCAGC